AACUCUAUAUAUCCUAACCUACAUAACCCGGGUACAUAGUGGUGAAAAUUGUAUUCGAUCUGCAGUAUUUGCCUACGACUAAAACUACCCGAACGUUACGUCACUACCUAUACCUCAUUCGAAUAAUAUCAUACGAGUCACAGGAUUUAAGUGAAAUACAGUAGUUUUUCAAACAUUCCGAACCGCAUAAAAAAGAUAUCCAUCAGGGCGACAUAGCAAUCUGCACUUACAAGAUUGGAAAAAAAUUAAUUUGGAAUUGUAGAAUAUACGGUUUACUCUUAACCAAACUAUAUUAUUCUAAUUACUGUAACUAUUUAUAGAGCUGAAAAAUAUAUCGUCUUUUCUGG